rnacentral:misc_RNA from 1 species
AAAAAAUAAUAUUUUUUGUUAUACGUUUUUAAAAUAACCAACUUUAUACAAAACAAUAUAGCAAAUUGGGCGCGAGCAUAUACAUUCUGCUUCAAACACAAUUAAGAAAGGACGCAUCUUUGAGACAAAAUUACAUUCCAAGCAAGAUACUUCGCCUGUGCAUACCCACACAAAAUACUACCUUUUCCACUGUCUUUUGAUGGCAAAAUUGCAACCCUUGUAUAGCUUCUGCUUGAAUCUGGAAUGUUUGAAACAAGUACACAUUUGCUUUCAAUUAUCCCCUUUCCCUGUAUGGCUUAUGACCAACUGAUAGCUGCUUG